GGAAGGUUGGCAGAGCGGUUAAUGCAUCGGAUUGCUAAUCCGUCUACCUGAAAGGGUAGCGAGGGUUCGAAUCCCUCACCUUCCG
rnacentral:tRNA from 1 species